UACAGAGGGUGCAAGCGUUAAUCAGAAUGACUGGGCGUAAAGGGCGUGUAGGUGGUUGACUAGGUUUGAUGUGAAGUCCCCGGGCUUAACCUGGGAAUUGCGUCGAAAACGGGUCGACUGGAGUGAGAUAGAGGGUUGUGGAAUUUCCGGUGUAGCGGUGAAAUGCGUAGAUAUCGGAAAGAACAUCAGUGGCGAAGGCGACAACCUGGAUCUUAACUGACACUGAGGCGCGAGGGCGUGGGGAUCAAACAGGAUUAGAAACCCCAGUAGUCC
rnacentral:rRNA from 1 species